CCUCUGGAAACCCUCAGCGCCGCCGUCCCGCCGCCACGCCCGCCCCCUCGGUCGCCGGCCGGAUUCUCUCCAUCGACUCCAGAUCCGGCCGUCCCAGCUAGUUCCUCACCGAUUCCCGUCCUCACAGCCGCGAAUACCGCCGUCAGCGAGGAACAACGCCGUGGGGGAAGGAGGAGCUCGCCCCCACGCCAUUGACGCCAGCGAGGAGCAGCGCCGGUGGGGGAAGGAGGAGCUCAGCGAGGAGCAGCGCUGGUGAGCAAGGAGGAGCAUCCCGACGACCAAACCCCGUCGCCCAAAGCGCAAUCACAAUGCAGGUACCAACGCCAUGCAGACAAGGUCUCAAGGCCCUGGCAAUUACUCUACCACUUUGGCGGAAAUCCAGAGUAACCAAAGCUCAAGUUGCUUUGUUCGAAAAGAAGUGAAGCACAACAAGAAUGGGCAACAUGCGUACCAGGUAAACAGAUGGAUUCCUUCCGUGUGACCAAGGCGGAUUCAAAGAAGUGGGAUUUUUGGUUCACUCCUACCUCCCUUCGUUGCCGUGGAGAGGAUCAUCCUAGCGUCUGCGCGUGCUCCCCUCCCACAUUCCUCGCAUCCCUAGCACGGAGCAGCCGGCGGCGAGGGGCUGUAGAGGAGCACGCAGAGCCAAGGUUGGGGGCACACGCUGUGGAGGACCGCAACAUUGCCGUUGUAUAGACAUGAACUAGCUACCGCCAUUGCUCUUAGUUGGGUUAGUAAUCAUGUUCAUGUCUUUAGAUGUGAGACCAUUUUGAUUUGCAAACUUAUGCAAAUGAAACUCCUUUGCUACAGGAACUUUUGUUGUAUGACAUAUAACAAAACUAGUUAUUUGUCAUUAUUAUGACUUGUCUUAACUUGAAAUAUUUGUGGCAAGUUCAAAAA